AGUGAACGCUGGCGGUAGGCCUAACACAUGCAAGUCGAACGGCAGCACAGUAAGAGCUUGCUCUUACGGGUGGCGAGUGGCGGACGGGUGAGGAAUACAUCGGAAUCUACUUUUUCGUGGGGGAUAACGUAGGGAAACUUACGCUAAUACCGCAUACGACCUACGGGUGAAAGCAGGGGAUCUUCGGACCUUGCGCGAUUGAAUGAGCCGAUGUCGGAUUAGCUAGUUGGCGGGGUAAAGGCCCACCAAGGCGACGAUCCGUAGCUGGUCUGAGAGGAUGAUCCGCCACACUGGAACUUAGACACGGUCCAGACUCCUACGGGAGGCAGCAGUGGGGAAUAUUGGACAAUGGGCGCAAGCCUGAUCCAGCCAUCCCGCGUGGGUGAAGAAGGCCUUCGGGUUGUAAAACCCUUUUGUUUGGAAAGAAAAACAGCAGGUUAAUCCCCCGCUGUUCUGACGGUACCCAAAGAAUAAGCACCGGCUAACUUCGUG
rnacentral:rRNA from 1 species